rnacentral:tRNA from 1 species
GCUGUUGUGGCUCAGUUGGUAGAGCAGCGCACUCGUAAUGCGCAGGCCACGAGUUCGAACCUCGUCAACAGCUCCA